rnacentral:tRNA from 1 species
UGCACUAUGGCUCAGUGCUAGAGCCCUUGCCUAGUAUGUGUGAGGCCCUGGGUUCUAAUCCCAGCAUUGCCA